ACGGAAGGCAGCAGUGAGGAAUAUUGGUCGAUGGGAGGAAGCCUGAACCAGCCAUGUCGAGUGCGGGACUACGGCCCGACGGGUCUUAAACUGCUUUUGCAAGGGGAUAAAGUGGGGCACGCGUGCCCCUUUGCAGGUACCUUGCGAAUAAGGAUCGGCUAACUCCGUGCCAGCAGCCGCGGUAAUACGGAGGAUACGAGCGUUAUCCGGAUUUAUUGGGUUUAAAGGGUGCGUAGGCGGGCUGUUAAGUCAGCGGUGAAACCCCCGGGCUCAACCCGGGGACUGCCAUUGAAACUGGCGGCCUUGAGUACGUUGGGAGUGCGCUGAUUGUGUGUUGUAGCGGUGAAAUUCAUAGAUAUCACACAGAACACCGAUCGCGUAGGCAGCGCACUACGCCGCAACUGACGCUGAGGCACGAAGGCGCGGGGAUCGAACAGGAUUAGAUACCCUGGUA
rnacentral:rRNA from 1 species